rnacentral:rRNA from 1 species
CGCAUCUGUGCAUGCAGCACAUCAAUAAGCGGAGGAAAAGAAACUAACAAGGAUUCCCUAGUAACGGCGAGUGAAGCGGGAAGAGCUCAAAUUUGAAAUCUUCAAGGUUUUACCUUGACGAAUUGUAGUUUAAAGAAGUGUUUUCUGUUGAAGUUUUGGUAAAAGUUCUUUGGAAUAGGACAUCAUAGAGGGUGAGAAUCCCGUAUUUGACCAUUAUUUUCAGCUGUGUGAUACACUUUCAAAGAGUCGGAUUGUUUGGGAAUGCAGUCCAAAAUGGGUGGUAAAUUUCAUCUAAAGCUAAAUAUUGGCGAGAGACCGAUAGCGAACAAGUACCGUGAGGGAAAGAUGAAAAGAACUUUGAAAAGAGAGUUAUACAGUACGUGAAAUUGUCAAAAGGGAAGCGUUUGACACCAGUGUUGUUUUCUCGAAAAUCAAUUAAAAAGAGUUAGAUUUUGUUGUGUAUUGACCUUAACAGCUUGCAUUUCAAUUUUCUUGCUUUUUUUAAUGCACUCUUCGUUUAACAAGUCAACAUCAGUUUCUUUUGUUGUAAAAAGGUCAUUGGAAGGUGGCUUUCUUUUCGGAGAAAGUGUUUAUAGCCUUUGACUCCUGCAAUCGGAGAGACUGAGGUCUGCAGCGUAGAUCCUUCGGGGUUAGAUACAUUUGUGCUAAGUUAUAGCUUUUAUAGACAACUUGUUGACUAUGAUUAGUCUUGUAGCUUACUCGCUUAUGCUAUUUUACCUACGCUUAGGAUGUUGACGCGCGUGUGUGCGUG